rnacentral:rRNA from 2 species
AUCCGGGCUGCGGACAGUGUCUGGUGGGUAGUUUGACUGGGGCGGUCUCCUCCCAAAGCGUAACGGAGGAGCACGAAGGUUGGCUAAUCCUGGUCGGACAUCAGGAGGUUAGUGCAAUGGCAUAAGCCAGCUUGACUGCGAGAGUGACGGCUCGAGCAGGUGCGAAAGCAGGUCAUAGUGAUCCGGUGGUUCUGAAUGGAAGGGCCAUCGCUCAACGGAUAAAAGGUACUCCGGGGAUAACAGGCUGAUACCGCCCAAGAGUUCAUAUCGACGGCGGUGUUUGGCACCUCGAUGUCGGCUCAUCACAUCCUGGGGCUGAAGUAGGUCCCAAGGGUACGGCUGUUCGCCGUUUAAAGUGGUACGCGAGCUGGGUUUAGAACGUCGUGAGACAGUUCGGUCCCUAUCUGCCGUGGGCGCUGGAGAAUUGAGGGGGGUUGCUCCUAGUACGAGAGGACCGGAGUGAACGCACCGCUGGUGUCCGGGUUGUCACGCCAGUGGCACUGCCCGGUAGCUAAGUGCGGAAAAGAUAAGUGCUGAAAGCAUCUAAGCACGAAACUUGCCCCGAGAUGAGUUCUCCCUGAGCCUUUAAGGCUCCUGAAGGGACGUUGAAGACGACGACGUUGAUAGGCCGGGUGUGUAAGCGCAGCGAUGCGUUGAGCUUACCGGUACUAAUGACCCGUGAGGCUUAACCUUACAACGCCAGAGGCGUUUUG